UCACUCUCUAUCCUCCAUUCAUACACCCGCAAGGUCGCUCCCUCUGGGGCCCUUUCUUCCCCAUUCUUCCCAGCAGUCCAAAGCUCUGGCGGGACAAGGGCAGCCCCUGGGGAGAGAGGGGAGGGAGGGGAGGGCCCAGGAACCCAGCUAGGAGGGUGGCCCCCCCAUUUCCAGUGUGACCUGUUCCCAUUCCCCCAUGUCUCCUCCCAUCCCUCCCGCCACUCAGCUCAGGCUGAUGAGGAGCAGAGCAAUGGGUGUAUCGGUGUUUUCUUUCCUGGUGGGGGAGUGGUGAGGGGCUGAGGAGAGAAAGGGGUGAUUAGCGUGGGGCCCCGCCCUCUUUUGUCCUCUUCCCAGGUUCUCUGGCCCCUUCGGAGAAACAAACGCACUUGGUUCGGGCCAGCCGCCUGAGGGGAGGGACGGGCUCACGUCUGCUCCUCACGCUGCAGCUGCUGGGCCGUGGAGCUUCCCCAGGGAGCCAGGGAGACUUCUGCCUCAGCCAUGAAGGGGACACACUGGAGGAGGGUCCCCUGGGUGCCCCUGAGCUGCCUGUGUCUCUGCCUCCUUCCACAUGUGGUCUCGGGAAUUACAAACACUUGUGAAUAUGAAGUUGUCACUUCAACUGCUGUAUUGUACAAAAGCUUUUCCAGCAUGAUGGAAAUAAGAAGACCUGGGAAUAUGUACCACAGAAAAAUAUUUCUCUUCUUUAUUGAAUACAUUCUAAUAAAAUAUAUGGAUUAAAAUGUUUUUGAAAGUAAAAUUAAGUGGUAAAUAGAAAUUUGUAGGUGUUAAGAAUGUUUUUGUUAAUUUUGAUUUUUUCCAAAGUGUUAAACUUUAAAUAAAUUUCAAUAAGUAUGAACAGAUUUGAGGCUGAGAAAUCCCACUCUACUACAAACUUAUAAUUCUCCACACCUACUCCUUUAUUUUCAUUUACAUUUUUACACUUUGUUCAAAUGAAUGGAAUUCACAGAUGUAAAUAGCAAAGAAAAACCCUCACAACUUUGAACAAAAGGAAGAAAAAAUCAUGAUUUGUUGAGAAGAAAACCAUUUAGUUGCAGUAAUUUAGAGGACAAAAUCAAUGGGUCUAUAAAAGAAAUAAAAUAGUUCUUUCACCAAAAUGACAAAUUGUUAAAUCAUAUUUAAGUUUUCUAAAUGAAGCACAACGGAACCUUUAAAAAAUUAUACCUAUGAAAAAUUUGUAAACUUUUUUCUUUAGGUGAUUAAUUUUUAGUUUCUUUUCUAACUACAAAUUGAAUUUCUCUUCCAUUUCUUAUCAGAUCAUAAACCACGUAAGAAAUUACCCUGAGUGGGUGGGAAGAAAAGGCCAUUUUUUUCCCCUUUUUGUGUUUUGUUUCUGCAUAGAGAAUCCUGUGGAAAUUACAUUUUUUAUUCUUUUUUACUAGGCACAUUCCACUAAUAGAUAGUUUGUGAUAUGUAAAGCUUAUUUCCAAAGCUCUCCAACAUCCUUGUUUAUUGAAUCUUCUUCCCUUCAGAGGUAAUUACUGCUACCUUUUCUCCUGAGGCAGCCACUUACCACUGUUCAAUUUCUAUACUUAACCCCUUCCAGAAUUGACCAUGAAAUAUUCAUCCCCAAGUAUAACAGAGUAGCACUUGAGUGUAAGUCUUUAUCACUUGCUAUUGCCCUUCUUUACAUCUGAUACUUGCAUUAAUUGAAAUCAAACUCCUAGCAGGGAAGAAAGCCCUGAUAUUACACCUUCAGAUAAUCUGCUAUACAAAAAAGAAAUUCCUUAAGGGGGAUCAGUUCUCUCCAAUAGCUUUAAUAUAAAUUCUUCACACAAAGUCUAUUUAUUUGGUAAAAUGCAAAUUAUAUUAGAAUAUUAUUUUAAUUUGUUUCCUUUUUUAUUCUGUGUUUUAAAUGGAUAUUAAAGAUAGAAAUUUUAUUUCAUACUUUGUGGUAUUUCUACAACCUAAAAUAAGACUGAUACAUAGAAGGCACUCAAUAAUAAUUUAUUAAUGAAUGAAUCAAUGUAAAACCCCAUUCCUUUAAAAGUAAUUAAAAUUUUCAAUUGUGUAGAAGAAAACAAUUAAAAUUGCAUAGGGUGUCAGGGAUUCUCAAUACAACAUGAAGGCUCACUGACUCACUAGAAGGACUCACAGGCUUCAGAAAAGCUAUUAAAUUCAAAUUAAUUCUCCCAGCAAUUGAUAUGGACAGGAGACAGGGAAAUAUUGGGUUGAAGAGGGUAGUUCCCUGGCAAAGGCCCCGCCUUCAAUCCUGGAAACCUGUGGCCCUAAAUGAGAACAGACAUUCCUAUUUUUGUUCCCAAAAGUUACCUUUUGGCCUGUCAUGACCCCCAUCCUAUACUCAUAUAAACCCCAGACCCCAGGCUCUAGAAGCAGAUGAGAAGGAGACAAACAGAAGAGCCGGAGAACAGCAGAGCGGCGCAGCAGAAAGAAGAGAAAGAGCGUCUGAAUGCUGAGAGGAGUUUGGCUGUCGGUGGUCAGAGAGGAGAUUGGCCACCGGACAGCCAAAUUCCUAGGGAAGAUCAUCUUCCCUACUCCAUCCCCUUCCAGCUCCCCAUCCAUCCUGCUGAGCGCCACCUCCACCACUCAGUAAAACCCCUGCAUUCACAAUCUUCACGUUGAUGUGUGACCUGAUUCUUCCUGGAUAUUGGACAAAGACCUGGGUGCCAAGAGGGCACUGAGCUGGUGAACACUUAAGCCGUAUGUGGAUGGCAAAGCUAAAAGAGCACACGGUAAGACAGGCCACACCCAUGUGGGCUUUGGGAGUCACAGGCACUCACCUCUAAAUGCUACCACGGGGCUGGAGCCCCAAAGCACUCGUCUAAGCUCAUGUACCUGCCAGUCUGCACGCUCCCCGUCCUCCCCGUCCUGUAAGGGGUUUGAGUGUGCAAAGGGGUCAUUAGGUUACGGUAUUUAAACAUAUGGCUCGUUGCCUAUUGUAUUCAGAAAACACAACUGCUAAAAUGAAGAAUCCUAGUGUAUCUGUAAUCGUUUUCCUCUCUUUAUCUCUGUAAUUAAUGCCAAAGCUGAAAACAAAACAAAACUAAACUAAAACGCUAUGCUACCACCCCUAUUAAGCAGUCUGGAGAACACAGGUUUACUUUGCUCCAGUUUCCUUGAUUUUUCUGUCUCUGUCCACAGCUUCUCAUGAAUGAGGAGGUAACAUGCCAUCAAGUGAUGGUUGCUAUGAAAGUUGCAAGCCCCUUGGACAUACUCCACUGAGUUGCCUUGACCAUAUCACUUAAAAGAGUUACUAGAGUUAAACAUUUCAUUGCCUGCGCUGCAGCAACAGUUUUUGAAAUAUGGCUAGGUUGUCACUAACAGACAGUACCUUGCUUGACAUAAAAUUUAUGCUUCAUAGCUGAAGAUAGUUACAUGUCUAUCAAAACAGCUGUAAUAAUGGAAAGUUAGCAGAGUGAUAGCAGUCAUCAGUUUUGUAUUUUUAAAGCUACUGUCAGGACCUUUUAUCCGGGAAAAUUUCUUCCUAGUUAUAGAUUUGUUCCCUUAAUGGCCACUCCCUUCUUUGCUAAAUUAUUGUGUAUAUAUAAUCUAAGAUACCUAUAUUGGGGUAGAAAACUAACUCAUUUGGUGACAGAGAUAGAAUAUGUGGUCUAUGUCCACGGCCCGUCUUUCACCUGAAUUGUUAUGUUUUAUAGAGUUAUUUAAAAGAUUACUAUUACCAUUGGCCCCUUUCAAGCUGUGAAUUUUGUAUAAAUCUUUCCAUUGGCCCCUUUUAAGCUGUGAAUUUUGUAUAAAUCUUUCUUCAGAGUUUCUCUUUCAUUGGCUCACAUAGUUGAAGAAAAUAUUGAUGUUCAGGACUGCAAAUGUUUUCUUGUUUUUGGCUUAUGUCAUAAAUCUCAUAGUGUACAUUUGGCUUUUCACUUAGUGACACAAAACAAUAUUCAUUCUGUGUCUUAUAACUUGCACUUGUCCCCUCACUACUUUAGAUUCCCUUCCAUAUCUGAAACAUAUUAAACUUUGCCCACUAUGCGUCAAGUUUCUUAAUAGAUGGGUGAUAUUUCAGUGAAGUUGAGCACUGAAGGUGCCUAGCUAUACUCUGGUUAAGUCAAGAACUGUAUUACUUUCUUCAAAAUGUCUAGCACAUUAUGUGUCAAAUACAUCUUGGCCUAGCUCUUUAGAGAAUAUUAGUUGCUGAAUUACUUUCAUCUCAUGAUAUAAUAUUUUUAUUAUGCUGAUGAUUUUGAGGGGAAGCUAAUUUCUCACUUUAAGGAAGAACUUAAACAUUUUCAGUUCAAUUUAUGUGAGUGCAGCAUUUCUCAUGUCAGAGAACAACAGGUGCAUUAACAGAAAAGUUAGCAGGUUGUUUUAGAAACUGUAUUGUUAAAAUACUUUCAGAGUGGAAACUUUGGGGAUCUUGGAUGCUGUCAUCUUUAUUGAAACAAAUAGCUUUAAAGACCACAAAUAUAUACUACAUGCACACUCACACAGUCACCCACCCAAUACUGUUGCUAUUAAUUACCACAUUUAGUCACUAGGGACAGACUAAUGAAACUUUUUAUUAACACAAUAGAAGCACAACGUACAAAACAAUCUGUUUAAUUCCAAGUAAAAAGCUCAUUUGCCUGAUGUGUCUCAGAAGGGAAACAAGAAACUCGGAAAUUGUAACUUGCCAAAUACUAAAUGGAUGGACACCUUCUGUCAUGAGAUUUCUGAAGCUCUCAAGAUUGGAAAUGUUUAAACAAAGUCAAAUUUAUUUCAUUGGUAAAGUUACUUUGAAAAGAUCAGGUAGGAUAAUUCUUAUUUGCAGGCACAUAAAAAAGUAUCUUGGGAAUUCGACUGAUAUUUAGUAUUAAUACAAGAUUUGUGGAAUAAAAGAAAAGAUGUAGUGUAAAAUAAAAAUAUGUGUUGCAUUCAGAGUGUCUAUACAUAAAAACACACAUAUAUCAUGUAUAUAUUUUGAUAUAGGUUUAUAUUUUUAAAGAAAAUAAGCAAAAAGUAUUAUUUAUAAUAUUUCAACCCACAGUUUAUAAUUUUCAAAGUUGAGCUUAAAAUUUUAAAUGAAAUGAAUUCUGUGAAAAAAACUAUAGGUGAAGCAUUUAAUCAAUUAAUAUACAAAUGUGCAAGAGAUUAGCACAAAUUAAUUUUAACAUAUUUGCAACAGUUUUCCAAAAUCCUUACAUUAUCAUAAACUGCAGACUUCCUCAGUUAUGAUGGUACAAUUUACUUUUUUUUGACUGUACAAUAGUAUGAAUGCCAUCUGCAUGCAGUGAUCCACAUUUAAAAACAUACUUAAGAGUACCCAUACAAUCAUUCUGUUGUUUACUUUCAGUUCACUAUUCAAUAAAUUGCAUGAGAUAUUCAGCACUUUAUUAUUAAAUAGGCUUUGUGAUAGAUAAUUUUGCCCAAAUAUUAAUGUAAGUGUUGUGAGGAUGUUUACGAUAGGCUAUGCAAAGGUGUGAUGUUUGUAAGUUAGGUGUAUUAAGUGCAUUUUUGACUUACAGUAUUUUCAACUUACGAUGGGUUUAUUGCGAUGUAACUCCAUCGUAAGUCAAGGAGUAUCUGUAUUCAUGUAACAGAAAUAACAGAUUCAUUUUAAAAACAACCACCAUUAUAAAAGGAAAGACUAUACCUCUUAAAAUUCUUAAGCACUAAUAUAUAUUUUAUGAGAAAAGAAAUAAUCAUGCCAAACAAAUUAAAUGUCCCAAACAAAUUAAACUGUUUUUUAUUUUAACAAAUAAGCAUAUAUUUCAAGUUUGAAGAUAUUGUUUACUUUAUUACUUAGGUUAUUGUUUAACCUAACGUUAAAACAAAUUAUAAAUCAGAUUAUGAUAAUUAACAUGGCACAGAGUUAAAGUAUUUAUUGUUAAUAACUCACUUAGCAUAAUAGGCAUGUUUAGCCUAAGUAACUGAUGUCACAAUAUUUUUACGCCUAGGAGGAAUUCUUUUUAUAUUAGC